rnacentral:rRNA from 1 species
AUUGAACGCUGGCGGCAGGCCUAACACAUGCAAGUCGAACGAGUGGCGGACGGGUGAGUAAUGUCUGGGAAACUGCCCGAUGGAGGGGGCUAACUACUGGAAACGGUUGCUAAUACCGCAUACCAUCGGUUGGGCCCAGAUGGGAUUAGCUAGUAGGUGGGGUAACGGGUCACCUAGGAGACGAUCCCUAGCUGGUCUGAGCGGAUGACCAGCCACACUGUAACUGAAGCACGGUCCAGACUCCUGCGGGAGGCAGGAGUGGGGAAUAUUGCAGAAUGGGAGCGAGCCUGAUGCGGCCAUGCCGCGUUUAUGAAGAAGGCCUUCGGGUUUUAAAAUACUUUCAGCGAGGAGGCGUUACUCGCAGAAGAAGCACCGGCUUACUCCGAGCCAGGAGCCGCGGUAAUUC